UGGGGGAUAUUGGACAAUGGGCGCAAGCCUGGUCCAGCCAUGCCGCGUGAGUGAUGAAGGCCCUAGGGUUGUAAAGCUCUUUCACCGGUGAAGAUAAUGACGGUAACCGGAGAAGAAGCCCCGGCUAACUUCGUGCCAGCAGCCGCGGUAAUACGAAGGGGGCUAGCGUUGUUCGGAUUUACUGGGCGUAAAGCGCACGUAGGCGGACUAUUAAGUAAGGGGUGAAAUCCCGGGGCUCAACCCCGGAACUGCCUUUGAUACUGGUAGUCUUGAGUUCGAGAGAGGGGAGUGGAAUUCCGGGUGUAGAGGUGAAAUUCGUAGAUAUUCGGAGGAACACCAGUGGCGAAGGCGGCUCACUGGCUCGAUACUGACGCUGGGGUGCGAAAGCGUGGGGAGCAAACAGG
rnacentral:rRNA from 1 species